GGGCGUUAAGUUGCAGGGUAUAGACCCGAAACCCGGUGAUCUAGCCAUGGGCAGGUUGAAGGUUGGGUAACACUAACUGGAGGACCGAACCGACUAAUGUUGAAAAAUUAGCGGAUGACCUGUGGCUGGGGGUGAAAGGCCAAUCAAACCGGGAGAUAGCUGGUUCUCCCCGAAAGCUAUUUAGGUAGCGCCUCGUGAAUUCAUCUCCGGGGGUAGAGCACUGUUUCGGCUAGGGGG
rnacentral:rRNA from 1 species